rnacentral:miRNA from 1 species
AGAGAAAGAGAUCGUUGGGU